AUUUAGUGCGAGGUUGUUACACAGCAAUCACUUCCAGCCGGAUUGUAGAUUUGGUUUGCGACAUCUCGUUGACAAACAUGAAGUUGUUUCUUGUGAUGGUUCUGGUCGGCCUGUUGACCGCUCAAUCUGUCACUGCACGAAGGAGACAUGGCAGAACGGAACGGCCUGCAAAGAUUGGAGGCUUACGAAGGUUAUCAAGAUCAACGUGGGAUCUUCGGCCGCCGGCUGGUUUUGACGGGGGUUUAUCACUAUUGUUGAGAAA